GAGGACCUAUUUCAUCUGCCUCUGACUGUGCAAGCUUUCCAGGAAUUUGAGGCUAUAGAGGACAUCUGCAUUACUUUAAGGGCCUCUGAUACUUUGGAUUGCAUAGAUACAUGGAGUUACAUCUGGGGAACUGAGCAAUUCUCUGUGGCUAAGGCAUACAAAGUGCUGAUGGGAGUCAAAGUUGUGCCACAGCAGUUCAAUUGGAUCUGGAGCAGUUCUUGUCAGCCAAAACAUAAGGUGUUCUUUUGGAGACUACUUCAUGACAGGCUCAAUACUAGAAAUCUUCUGAGAAGGAAAUCAUUUCAGCUGGGCAACUAUAACUGUGCUGUCAACAAUUGCCCACAGGAAGAGACUCUCCAUCACCUUUUCUGGACUUGCCCUUUUGCCGCACAGUGUUGGGAUCUGAUCUGCCCUUCAAGACAGGCAAAUGUUUCAAUCAUGGAAGCUUUUCUUGAUCUCAAGCAGAAACUUCAUGUUCCUUUCUUCAUGGAGAUAGUCAUCCUUGCCUCUUGGGCUAUUUGGAUCUCCAGGAACAACAUGAUUUUCCAAGCAAUUCAACCCAGCAUUCAAAGGUGGAAAGCCAUCUUCAGGGAGGAGCUCUCUCUUCUCAGAUUUAGAAUUAAAAAGAGCUAUGCUGGAGCAUACUGUUUUUGGCUGGAU
rnacentral:rRNA from 1 species